GGCCCGGAUGCUGGCGGCGCCGCCAUGCAGCGCGACGUGGGCAGCCUCCCGCUGGCGCCCGCGCUGCGGGCGCGGCUCGUGGCCGCCGGCUUCCAGACGGCGCAGGAGCUGCUGGAGACCGGCCCCUGCGGGCUGAGCAAAGAAAUUGGAAUCUCCAAAGAAGAGGCUCUAGAAGCAUUACAGGUUGUAAGGCAGGAAUGUCACAGUGAUGCGACACGGACUGCUGCAGCACCUGGCACCUCCAGAAAAUGCACGGCACUGGAGCUGUUGGAACAAGAGCAAGCCCAGGGCUUCAUCAUCACCUUUUGUUCAGCACUAGACAAUGUUCUUGGGGGUGGUGUGCAGCUAACAAAAAUCACUGAGAUCUGUGGAGCACCCGGUGUUGGGAAAACACAGCUAUGUAUGCAGCUGGCAGUAGAUGUACAGAUCCCAGAAUGCUUUGGGGGUCUAGCUGGAGAAGCAGUGUUCAUUGAUACUGAAGGAAGUUUUAUGGUAGACAGAGUAGUGGAUAUUGCAACUGCCUGUGUACAGCAUUGCCAACUUAUUGCUGAAGCUCACCAAGAAGAAGAUCAUCUAAAAGCUUUGGAGUCUUUUUCUCUUGAAAGUAUCCUUUCUCACAUAUAUUACUUCCGUUGCCGUGACUACAUAGAGCUUCUAGCACAGGUCUACCUCCUCCCAGACUUUCUUUCAGAGCAUUCAAAGGUCCGACUGGUGGUAAUUGAUGGAAUUGCAUUUCCCUUUCGCCAUGACUUUGAGGACCUCUCACUUCGCACAAGACUCUUAAAUGGUCUUGCACAACAGCUGAUCAUUGUAGCAAAUGAUCAUAAAGCAGCAGUAGUUCUGACAAAUCAAAUGACAACAAGGAUUGGACAAAGCCAGUCCACACUGGUACCGGCUUUAGGAUCUUAGGUUGUAGAGAUACCUCUAUUCCAGCUGCAGCUGUACCUGCUAAGGAGGCCACUACCCCUGCUGGAGGUCACUGCUCUAAUCUACAUGCUGGCUGAGCUGUUUGUGAUUGUCUCCCAAAACAUUUUUGUUAAAAGUGAGCCUGGCCAGAGAAUGUGGAGCUGGUGGUGUGCUGGAGACCAACAAAUAACUGAGAAGUUAACAGGUUGUGUACAGAUGAAUGAGAGAGGCUUGCAGUACUUAACCAAGCGACUGUUUCAAAAUUCAAUCCAUCUUCUGACUGCUAUAUGUCCCUUGGGAUAAACAGAGGAAAACGCCCAAUAAAGCUGUCUGUAAACCGAAUGAUCUUGUGGCCAGAUGUGAUCUGAAACAUUAGGACUGUUUCCCCUGAAACAGGAUAAUAGCUCAAACUUUCUUCUCUUUUUUUUUGCUUUUUUCCCCCCACUCUCUAUUGGUUGUGUUUUUUCAUUUUGCUGUUAGAAAAGGAAGACUGCUUCAGGGGCCCUUAAUACUUUAAUAAUCACUGACCUUCUCCCAAAGCUUUUAUCCCAAAGGAAGUGAUGUUUGCUCAUAAUUAUGCCUGAGAGACAGAA